rnacentral:rRNA from 1 species
CAAGGGGAGCGGCAGACGGGUGAGUAACGCGUGGGAAUCUACCGAGCCCUACGGAAUAACGCAUGGAAACGUGUGCUAAUACCGUAUACGCCCUACGGGGGAAAGAUUUAUCGGGGUUUGAUGAGCCCGCGUUGGAUUAGCUAGUUGGUGGGGUAAAGGCCUACCAAGGCGACGAUCCAUAGCUGGUCUGAGAGGAUGAUCAGCCACAUUGGGACUGAGACACGGCCCAAACUCCUACGGGAGGCAGCAGUGGGGAAUAUUGGACAAUGGGCGCAAGCCUGAUCCAGCCAUGCCGCGUGAGUGAUGAAGGUCUUAGGAUUGUAAAGCUCUUUCACCGGAGAAGAUAAUGACGGUAUCCGGAGAAGAAGCCCCGGCUAACUUCGUGCCAGCAGCCGCGGUAAUACGAAGGGGGCUAGCGUUGUUCGGAAUUACUGGGCGUAAAGCGCACGUAGGCGGAUAUUUAAGUCAGGGGUGAAAUCCCAGAGCUCAACUCUGGAACUGCCUUUGAUACUGGGUAUCUAGAGUAUGGAAGAGGUGAGUGGAAUUCCGAGUGUAGAGGUGAAAUUCGUAGAUAUUCGGAGGAACACCAGUGGCGAAGGCGGCUCACUGGUCCAUUACU